ACCAUCAAAUAUUAGUCUAGUCUUUGCCAACAGAACCUCCACCAACCGUGCCUGCCAUUGUACCCUAAGUACCUGCUUAUCCACAUAGUCAUCAAUUUAUGUAAGCGAUACUACAUACAUACAUUUUUACUGUACAUUUCGUAAGCGGGACAUUGCUAAGUUGUAAAUGAGAACCCCUACAUCGUCCUACAAAGCAUGGAAUGUACAGGUUCAAAUUAUGCAAGCUUACGAUACCCCAUAAACUUUGUUACUGACAACUCGAACUCGAAUGUACUAUAUAAAUUACAAACGAUAAAAUACAAAUGUUAAAUAAACACGGAAUAUAUCAAUUCAUGAUUGCUGACUUAGCAUUGGCAAUUGAAAGCUCUAAAGAAAAGAAGGAAAGAAAUUCAGAAGACAGGAAUGGAGAAAGCAUGCUGCACAGCUUUGCUACUGACGGCCAAUUGUUGCAUUGAAAUAUCAUUGAUAUAGACAAAACGUAGUGCUUCUCUUAGAACCAAACUAAGGAAGAGAGAACAUAGCAUCCAUUCACAUACCUUGUUAAUCAUUGAAAAAAUAGUAGCAAACAAGCUUUCAACAACAACAAUGAAAUCAGCGGGGAAUACGAGAGGAAAAGGGGAUGGGAGACUUGCAAAGCAAUUGAAAAGAAAAGACAUUAGGGCAAUUAGAACUUCUUGCCGAACAUCAAAAGUUGAACUUGGUCAUAAAUGGAAAGGACACCAGCUCCAGCAACACCACGAAGAAUGUUGGCACCGGCACCCUUGAAGAAAGAACGAGCACCUUCCUUGGCGAGGAUUUGACGACCACAUUCAAAGGAGGAGCUAUACUUGACGGCUUCACCAGAUGUCAUCAUCAUACGACGACGGAUGGUAUCAAGAGGAUAAGAAGCAACACCAGAACCAGUGGUAACGGCCCAA